rnacentral:rRNA from 1 species
UGAGUACGAGAUGCUACGGCAUCGAAGCAGUCUAUGUCAUACUUCCAAGAAAAGCUUGCACUGUCAUAAACAAAGAAUGCCUGUACCAUAACCGACACAGGUGGGUAGGUAGAGUAUACUAAGGGGCGCGAGAUAACUCUCUCUAAGGAACUCGGCAAAAUGACUCCGUAACUUCGGGAGAAGGAGUGCCUUAUUUCUAAGGUUGCAAUAACAAGAUCCAAGCAACUGUUUACCAAAAACACAGGUCUCCGCUAAGUCGUAAGACGAUGUAUGGGGGCUGACGCCUGCCCAGUGCCAGAAGGUUAAAGAAGUUGGUUAGCAUUAGCGAAGCUGAUAACUGAAGCCCUGGUGAACGGCGGCCGUAACAAUAACGGUCCUAAGGUAGCGAAAUUCCUUGACGGGUAAGUUCCGACCCGCACGAAAGGCGUAAUGAUUUGGAUACUGUCUCGGAGAGGGGCUCGGUGAAAUAGACUUGUCUGUGAAGAUGCGGACUACCUGCACCUGCACAGAAAGACCCUAUGAAGCUUUACUGUAACUUGAGAUUGAAAUUGGACUUUAUUUGCGCAGUAUAGGUGGGAGGCGUUGAGAAUAAUCUUGCGGGAUUGUUGGAGCCAUCAGUGAGAUACCACUCUUGUAAUGUUAGAUUUCUAACUUUGUAUCAUUAUCUGGUCAAAGAACAGUUUCAGGCGGGCAGUUUGACUGGGGCGGUCGCCUCCCAAAGGGUAACGGAGGCGCACAAAGGUUUCCUCUGAACGGGUAGAAAUCGUAUCUAGAGUGUAAAGGCAUAAGGAAGCUUGACUGUGAGACCUACAAGUCGAGCAGGGACGAAAGUCGGUCUUAGUGAUCUGACGGUGCUGAGUGGAAAGGCCGUCACUCAACGGAUAAAAGUUACUCUAAGGAUAACAGGCUGAUCUCCCCCAAGAGUUCACAUCGACGGGGAGGUUUGGCACCUCGAUGUCGGCUCAUCGCAUCCUGGGGCGGUAGUCCGUCCCAAGGGUUGGGCUGUUCGCCCAUGAAAGCGGUACGCGAGCUGGGUUCAGAACGUCGUGAGACAGUUCGGUCCAUAUCCGGUGUAGGCGUUAGAAUAUUGAGAGGAGCCUUCUCUAGUACGAGAGGACCGAGAAGGACAUACCUCUGGUGUACCAGUUAUCGUGCCAACGGUAAACGCUGGGUAGCUAUGUAUGGAGUGGAUAACCGCUGAAAGCAUCUAAGUGGGAAGCCCACCUCAAGAUAAGUAUUCUCA